GAGUCAUGGCCAUCACCAUGGCCUGCCACGUGGAGCCUGUUGUGGAGAGUGGAAUGAUGUCCGUUGUCGUGACUUGCCAGAGCAUGAUGGAGCCGUGUGGGAUCCAUUAUAGGAAGUGGAGCAGAGUCGCGGCCAUUACUGCGGCCUGCCAAGGAGUCCAGGCCUGUCAGUCGAAGCUCGGUCAGGGACUUUCUGGGGAUGAAGUCAGU
rnacentral:lncRNA from 1 species